GGGAUUGCCCUAGUAACGGCGAGUGAAGCGGCAACAGCUCAAAUUUGAAAUCUGGCGCAAGCCCGAGUUGUAAUUUGUAGAGGAUGCUUCUGGGUAGCGACCGAUCUAAGUUCCUUGGAACAGGACGUCAUAGAGGGUGAGAAUCCCGUAUGUGACCGGCCCGCACCCUUUACGUAGCUCCUUCGACGAGUCGAGUUGUUUGGGAAUGCAGCUCUAAAUGGGAGGUAAAUUUCUUCUAAAGCUAAAUACCGGCCAGAGACCGAUAGCGCACAAGUAGAGUGAUCGAAAGAUGAAAAGUACUUUGGAAAGAGAGUUAAAAAGCACGUGAAAUUGUUGAAAGGGAAGCGCCUGCAACCAGACUUCGUGGCAGUGUUCCGCCGGUCUUCUGACCGGUUUAUUCUCUGUCGCGAGGCCAUCAUCGUCUGGGCCCGCCGGAUAAGACCUGAGGAAUGUAGCUCACCUUCGGGGGAGUGUUAUAGCCUCUGGUGAUGCGGCGAGGCUCGGGCGAGGUCCGCGCUUCGGCAAGGAUGAUGGCGUAAUGGUUGUCGGCGGCCCGUCUUGAAACACGGACCAAGGAGUCUAACAUCUAUGCGAGUGUUCGGGUGUCAAACCCCUACGCGUAAUGAAAGUGAACGGAGGUGGGAACCGCAAGGUGCACCAUCGACCGAUCCUGAUGUCCUCGGAUGGAUUUGAGUAAGAGCAUAGCUGUUGGGACCCGAAAGAUGGUGAACUAUGCCUGAAUAGGGUGAAGCCAGAGGAAACUCUGGUGGAGGCUCGCAGCGGUUCUGACGUGCAAAUCGAUCGUCAAAUUUGGGUAUAGGGGCG
rnacentral:rRNA from 1 species